UCACAACAACAACAAAAAAAAAACACGAAAACAAAAAAAAGAACCUAAGAAGAAACCCGCAAAACAAAUUCUUUCUAGCUUUGUCUUCCUUCUCCAUCUCUUUGUUCAUCGUAUUUGUUUUGAUUCUUCGUUAUUAGCUUUCCUUCUCCAUAACCAUAGUUCCCGAAUCUUCGUUAUCAGUCUUCCUGGAAACAUAAAAGAAAAAAACAAAAAAAAAAUUAUUCGAGUUUUCCCUGCUUUCUCUUCACGAACUUACCGCUCGAUUUUCUUCUCUCAGUGCUCGAUGAAGGAGAUUAAGUGGUACGAUUUUGGUCCAAGAUGAGUUAUGGAGAAACCCUAAUAUCCAUUCAAGUUUAUCUUAUUCGUUUCCUAGCCAUAACCUUCAAACGACGUCAACAAAUCAGAAAGGCUGCUAAACAUUCGCAGGACCAAGGAGUACCAGCCUUUGGAUUUUCUCAAUUAACAGUAAGCAGCAAGGGUCAAUACGAAAUAAACAAGGUACCUGAAGAGAUGAAGCACAAGACUUGAUUGAUCGGGGUUGCAUGUGAUUUAAGUAUUAUGUUUAAGUGGUAUGUGCAUCUACGUACAUAGCCCCCAUAAAAUAUGAAGGAUGUGCUUUGCCUCUAGUGGUGCGGAUGGGAUAAAUUUACACUUUAUGCUGGGGAGCUUGAUCUGACACCCCUAAUUUAGCCAUGAAUUUCUUAUGGCCUAUUUACGUACCUUGACCUAUGCUUUUGCAGGGUUACACUGAACUAAUGAAGCUGAAAAUGCGUAGUGUUCGACAGGAAAUGCUGCUUUAGAUGUGGGAUGCACGGGGUCUUGCUGAUUGAUACUAACUCAUUUCUAUAAUUACUACAAUAUAGUUAUGUUUCCUUUUGUAUAAUUCUUGGGUCCCGGCAAUAGCUGUGAACUUCGUUUACUUCGGCCAAUUCUGUAUUUCAUCUCAUUUAUUUGCUUUGCAGGAUUCUUGAUUGUUUGGAGAAGCAAUAUGCAAAAGACAUUACUACGUAUGAUAUGCAUCAACUUUAUGGGGCUCUUUAGAUAGAUCUACAUGUUUUGAAGAUUUUAUACUCAUUGCCAACUUGCCUUGAGUUUUCAGUGUACUGACUGAUUUUGCUACAAUGAGAUAUGUCGAUUCAAGAAGCAUUCUAAACUGAUGAAAUCCGUAGCACCAAGAUCUUUCAUAUCUUCAAAUUAUGUUACCACCUGGGUGUAGUGUACAUGUUGCGUUGAAGCAGUAAUUAUUCAUUUCGUCAUCUAAGUUUUUAGUUUUCAUCAUCUUUCGUCUUUAAUCUACACUGGCAUUUGCAUUCCAGGUUGGGUAUCAACAAAAUGUAAAGACUAUUCGAAGCAGACAUUAAAGCAUUCUAUGGCAUCCGGAUGGAGUGCACGAAGUGAAUGGUAACAAAUUGUACAUCCAAUAUGAGGCAGGCAUCAAAGUAUUUUGGCAGCGGAAUGAGUGCAUUGAGAAAAUGUGGCAUCAGGCAUUCAACUAUCAUAUAUAGAACAAAAUGACAACUUUCAACAUCCUAUUACCAUGGAGGGAAGCGGGUUCAGUUUCCUUAUGGAUUUAUUAUGAUGGCACAACAAGCUUAUCCAGUGUCUUAAAGAGACAAUUGAGCUUUGAAUUGGAAAUCCUAGCGAUAUCUGCAGAUGCAAAUGAAAGACUCUCAAAAUACCUAUCAGAAGUGUCUAGAGUUGCUGCUCUUCGUUCUCAAAAACAAGGACACCCCUCAAAGUGUUCUGUUUACGAAUACUAAGCUCGAAGGUUCUCUAUGUAAGGGCUGCCGGGAGCACAAAUGUUCAUGUAGGUGUUGCUAGAGAUGGAGUUCCUAAAAUGAAGUGCUAAAGGUUUCUUAAAAUGGCGGAUUUUGCAAUAUAUGGGUUUCUUCAGUUUAAGAUACUGGCCUUUUGACAUUUAGUUUUUUUCUUUGUACUUGAGGGAACAAAUUUUUUUUCAUAAGAGUAUUGAACUUUAUAGACUAGAUGAGGGGACAGAGGGAACGAAUUUACUGAGGCCUACAAUUGGUCGAAGUGUAUGUGUGUGUUUAAUCAUCUGCUUUCUUUUAGGUAUCACUCAAUUUCUGACACAAGGUAGCAUCACCGGCUUUGAUAUUUCUUUCUUAAAGUUAAAUAUUCCCAUCACCUGCCUUUCAACGUGUGUUUGUAUGUAUUUAUAUAACUGCAUGUGAUUCAUAUAACAUUUUUGUUAGCUUUCA